rnacentral:rRNA from 1 species
GACUACCGGGGUAUCUAAGCCUGUUCGCUCCCCACGCUUUCGUGCAUCAGCGUCAGUAAUGGCCCAGUAAGCUGCCUUCGCAAUCGGUGUUCUGUGUAAUAUCUAAGCAUUUCACCGCUACAUUACACAUUCCGCCUACCUUGACCGUACUCAAGACUAACAGUAUCAAUGGCAAGUCUCCAGUUAAGCUGAAGGUUUUCACCACUGACUUAUUAAUCCGCCUACGCACCCUUUAAACCCAAUAAAUCCGGAUAACGCUCGCAUCCUCCGUAUUACCGCGGCUGCUGGCACGGAGUUAGCCGAUGCUUAUUCCCAGAGUACCGGCAAGCCCCGACACGUCGGGGGUUUUCUUCUUCUGGAAAAGAAGUUUACGACGCAUAGCGCCUUCUUCCUUCACGCGGGAUGGCUGGUUCAGGCUUACGCCCAUUGACCAAUAUUCCUCACUGCAGCCGCCCGUAGG